CUCCAGCCUGGGUGACAGCGAGACCCCGUCUCAAAAAAAAAAAAAAAAGGGAAAGCUCGGGCAUGUUGGUUACCGUUCAUGAAACUCUUUUGAGUUAUCUCCCUAGAUUUUGAGCUCCAAGGGCAGUGGUUCUCAUACAGGGGACAUUUGGCUGUUGUCUGGAGCCAUUUUUGAUUGUCAAAACCCAGAGAGGGGUUGCUAGUGGCAUCUUGUGGGUGGAGGCCAGGGAAGCUGCUACACAUCCAUCAGUACACAGGACAGCCCCCACAAUAAAGAAUUACCUAGCCCGAAUGUCAGUAGCGCCAAGGCUGAGAAAUCCCAUCCUGAAAGGACCAUACUCUAGCUCUUUUAGUGGCUAGUAUAGUCCUGGGCAUAUGAAUAGUCAAGAUAUGAUGAAAGAUGGUAUUUGUAUGGACUGGAGUAUCAAGCAAGGCUCGACCCCCAAAGGGCUGGAGGCAUGGCCAGAAGGACAGGGCCACUUUGGCUUCUGGAUUCCUGUGGCAGGGACCUUUUCGCAGGACUCCCUGGCCAAUGUGGGGCUAUGAACAGCACUGAGUAUCCCCCUAAGUGACCUUGGGGUGCUCUGUGACCCUCAGCGGCUGCCGGAAACAACAUGGAGGACAUCUUUGGGGAGCUUUUGCUACAGCUGCACCAGCAGUACCCAGGUGAUAUCGGCUGCUUUGCCAUCUACUUCCUGAACCUGCUUACCCUGAAGCCUGGGGAGGCCAUGUUUCUGGAGGCCAACGUACCCCAUGCCUACCUGAAAGGAGGUGAGCCACAUUUCAGCAGUGAGCCCCACUGCCAUCCCUGCUGGGCCCUGUUUCCCUAUCUGGACAAAAGAAGGAGAAGGGUGGUCAAGGAGACCCCCAAGGACCUUGCAGCUCUGACCUCUGAGGGUUCCUGGGCUCAGCAAGCAACAGCUGGUAGGGAUGAUGAAUGCAUUUAGCAUUGAACACGCCUUGAAUCCUGACACCAACCCUGUGAUGCCAUGCUACUCUGAUUUUAAGUCCUGCCAGUCAGUGUGGGAACCACAAUUUGAACGCAGGCUAUAUUGGAUCAAAGCUGUUGUUCUGUCACAGCCUUUGUAUGUCUGUCCUACCUACCAGGGAUUUUUACACUAAAAUAUGCAUGUUGCCAUGGAAGGAUGCCACCUUUCGACUGUUGGCUGCUUAUCCACACAUGCCUCAUGCACAGGAUUCUGGGGUAGAAGUGGGAGACUACAGAGUUGGGGCUCCCCAACCGCCAGGGGUUAACAUGACUCCCCUCUGACAAUAAUGGGUGACCUGUCACCUGUUUUUGGUAUUUGAUAUCUUAACCCCAUUCUCCCAGAGAAUACAAUUCAUGGAAAUUUUUACCUAACUUGGCAUGGGGUUCAUGGAGCUCAGGUUAGGAGGCCCAGAACUGGAGAGCUAAGGCAUACUUCAUCAGCUUAGCACAUGAUGACUGUCUCUCCAGACUGCGUGGAGUGCAUGGCGUGUUCAGACAACACAGUUCGUGCUGGCCUGACACCCAAGUUCAUUGAUGUGCCAACCCUGUGUGAAAUGCUCAGCUAUACCCCUAGCUCCAGCAAGGACAGGCUCUUUCUCCCAACACGGAGUCGGGAAGACCCCUACCUCUCAAUCUAUGACCCCCCUGUACCAGACUUCACCAUUAUGAAGACGGAGGUGAGUGAGGGGCUAUGAUGGGUGUCCUUCGUGUGCCAUGAAAAUCUCUGGCAAGGGUCACGAUGUGGAGGACACCUGGGGCUGGGUUUCCUGUCAAGCCCACUUGGCGGAGGGUGGCCCCAGGGCCUGCCCAUUCCUUCCUGUACCAGGGACCAGGCCUCUAUGCUGACUGAGCCUGGGUUGUGGGAGAAGGUGGCAGAGCUCUCCCUCGUGCCCUGGGGACUGUCCUGGGCCCAUGAGCUGAUGAGAGCAGAGUCUGAGCUGCACUGCCUUAUCGUUUCUUCCUGCCCAGGUCCCUGGCUCUGUCACUGAAUACAAGGUCUUGGCACUGGACUCUGCCAGCAUCCUCCUGAUGGUACAGGGGACAGUAAUAGCCAGCACACCCACAACCCAGACACCAAUCCCUCUGCAACGUGGUGGCGUGCUCUUCAUUGGGGCCAAUGAGAGUGUCUCACUGAAGCUUACUGAGCCGAAGGACCUGCUGAUAUUCCGUGCCUGCUGUCUGCUGUAAAGGCUGCAGCCUCCCCAGUUCUUCUCUGCCAGCCACCCUAAAUUCCAGCCAACCUCACCUCCUCAGGCCCAGCUUAAGCCCCCUUCCUUGCUCUGGACCCCUUAGGUAUACCCUGGAAGAGCUGGGGUGGGGGAGGAGGGAGCGUGAAGGUAGUGACUCCUGAACACACCCAGGUGGAACCAUCUUUGGGGAGGAGAGGCCCGUGUGAGGGGUCUGAUACUCCCUUUGUCUUCCCUCUGUACUCCUCGCUACACCUGAGCCAGGCUCUUGCCAACUGUGUUCCAGCCUAUGGCUUUAGGCUAGCUGUUAAAUAUGUGACCCAGCAUUAGCUCAGCAUCUGUCAGAGCAAGAGACCAGGUAAUUUCUAAGAACAGGGUUCUAGCGCUGGGACUGCCCAUUUCCUCAGCUGCAGAGGAGGAAAGGGAAAGGGUAGGCCUGUAGACUAACGCUGUUUACACCCUUGUUCUGUCAAAGCAAUUAAAGAUCACUUGUGUUGAG
rnacentral:sRNA from 1 species